UCGAACGGCAGCACAGGAGAGCUUGCUCUCUGGGUGGCGAGUGGCGGACGGGUGAGGAAUACAUCGGAAUCUACUCUGUCGUGGGGGAUAACGUAGGGAAACUUACGCUAAUACCGCAUACGACCUACGGGUGAAAGCAGGGGAUCUUCGGACCUUGCGCGAUUGAAUGAGCCGAUGUCGGAUUAGCUAGUUGGCGGGGUAAAGGCCCACCAAGGCGACGAUCCGUAGCUGGUCUGAGAGGAUGAUCAGCCACACUGGAACUGAGACACGGUCCAGACUCCUACGGGAGGCAGCAGUGGGGAAUAUUGGACAAUGGGCGCAAGCCUGAUCCAGCCAUACCGCGUGGGUGAAGAAGGCCUUCGGGUUGUAAAGCCCUUUUGUUGGGAAAGAAAUCCAGCCGGCUAAUACCUGGUUGGGAUGACGGUACCCAAAGAAUAAGCACCGGCUAACUUCGUGCCAGCAGCCGCGGUAAUACNAAGGGUGCAAGCGUUACUCGGAAUUACUGGGCGUAAAGCGUGCGUAGGUGGUCGUUUAAUUCCGUUGUGAAAGCCCUGGGCUCAACCUGGGAA
rnacentral:rRNA from 1 species